GGGAGUUUGGCCGAGUGGUCUAAGGCGCCAGAUUUAGGUUACAUUUAAACUAAGUAUUCUGGUAUCUUCGGAUGCGAGGGUUCGAACCCCUCAGCUCUCA
rnacentral:tRNA from 1 species